UGGGGAAUAUUGCACAAUGGACGGAAGUCUGAUGCAGCAACGCCGCGUGCGGGAUGACGGCCUUCGGGUUGUAAACCGCUUUUUCUCAUGACGAAGUUUUUUGACGGUAGUGGGGGAAGAAGCACCGGCUAACUACGUGCCAGCAGCCGCGGUGAUACGUAGGGUGCGAGCGUUGUCCGGAAUUAUUGGGCGUAAAGAGCUUGUAGGCGGUUUGUCGCGUCGGUAGUGCAAACUCAGUGCUUAACGCUGAGCCUGCUGUUGAUACGGGCAGACUAGAGGAAGGUAGGGGGGAAUGGAAUUCCCGGUGGAGCGGUGGAAUGCGCAGAUAUCGGGAGGAACACCGGUGGCGAAGGCGGUUCUCUGGGCCUUUCCUGACGCUGAGAAGCGAAAGCGUGGGGAGCGAACAGG
rnacentral:rRNA from 1 species